UACAGAGGGUGCAAGCGUUAAUCGGAAUUACUGGGCGUAAAGCGCGCGUAGGCGGUUACGUAAGUCGGGUGUGAAAGCCCCGGGCUCAACCUGGGAAUUGCAUUCGAAACUGCGUAGCUAGAGUCUGAUAGAGGGAAGUGGAAUUUCCGGUGUAGCGGUGAAAUGCGUAGAUAUCGGAAGGAACACCAGUGGCGAAGGCGACUUCCUGGGCCAAUACUGACGCUGAGGUGCGAAAGCGUGGGGAGCAAACGGGAUUAGAUACCCCAGUAGUCC
rnacentral:rRNA from 1 species